rnacentral:lncRNA from 1 species
GUGUAGCGUCAAAGUUUGCGAUGUCCUGUUUCGUGUAUGGCAUCGCAGCAAAUGCAUAGGCGAUUGAGGUGUGGACGCAUUGCUGCAGCAUGCGUAGGCGUUGUGCCGGCGUGGCCAGUGACGUGGCUAUGGCCGUGCCCUUUUCUUUCACAGUUUCAGUGACGUGGGAGACUUGCGCCUUCCAGUCUAGUGAGAAGGUGAGUUGCACCCCCAGGUAUUUGUAGGGUUUUGUGGGCGGGUAGUACGGUACAGUGGUGUUACCAAUUCGUAGCUUGUUAGUCAGUUCACGGUGCAUCGCGUUCAGCGUGGCUUGGCCGGUGGGUCCGUCAAGGGUCGGGGUGGACCGGGACUUGUUGUGCCAGAUGGCGGUAGUUGCGCACUUGGUGUGAUUGACUCGCAGGCUUGCCCAGUCUGCAUAGUCCGAGAUUUUGUCACAUUGGAUCUGCAGGUCUUCCAGCGUUGUGGUCAGGGCCGCCAAGUCGUCAGCGUACGCGGCGGCGCUGCAGUGGUACCGUGCAUUGUCUUCCGGGCUGAGGCAUCCGUAGCGGUAGCCCCGCCCACCUGCGUGGAGCCACCGCACAAGCGGUUCCAUGAACAAGAUGAACAGUACAGGUGACAGGGUGUCACCUUGCACCGUGCCACGUUCUAUUGGGAUGGCGGAUGUGCAUCCAUGUUCAGUACGAAUGCGGGUGGUGGCGUGCGCGUAUAGGUUGCGGACUGCGCGUAUCAGGUCGUCAGGCAGGCCCAGAUCGAACAUAAUCUGGAGUAGCCUGUCCUGAUCGAUUGUGUUAAACGCAGAGCUGUAGUCAACAUACACUGCGUAUACGUCUUUCCCAUACAGGGCAGCGUCCUCCAGUACAUGCACAAGGUUCAGUAUCUGCCGUUCCGUGUUGCAGUAGGCCUGGAAGCCCUCCUGUGAUUCGCUGAACAGCUGGAGUGGGCCUGCCAGUUCGCCGAUGCCCAGGGUGAGCAUAGAAGUGUACAGUUUAUAGCAAGUGUUGGCUAGAGCGAUGGGCCUCUUGUUCUUGAUGUCAAGAGCGUCCCCAGGUUUUGGGAGCAGGACCGUGUCCGAAGUGGCCCAGGACUCCGGGAUUGUGGACUUGACGUACAUGAUCUUCAGUGUGUUGUGUAGGGCUCGCUUCAUGCCAUGAGGCAAGAUGCGGAGCAGCUCGUUCGGAAUGCCGUCUGGGCCCGUGGCUUUGUUACGAGAGAGGUGGGCGAUACAGUGGUCAAAGUUGGCGGGGUCUGCCAUGCUAGAAAGCAUGGAGUGUGCUUCCGGGUGCUUGUUACGCUCAAGCGUAAAGGCAUCCGUAGCGUUAGGUAGUUCGAACGGGUACCCACGCAUUGCGCCAGGCGACAGGCGAUAUUCACCUGUGCGGGGCCCUCGUGGGGGGGCUGACAGUUUGCGGAAGUGGCCUUCCAGGGCGGUUAGAAUGCUGGGGGGGUCGGUUACCACCUCGCCUGUUUCAGGGUUGCGGACCGCGGGGAGGCCACGUUCGGUUGCUUCUUUCUGAAAG